AUCCGUGAGGCUGAUCUGGCUGUGCACGUGAGACCCCAUCCACUGCCCGGGCCAAGCUGGCUGAUCUGAAAGGCUCAGCUGGCGUCCGUCCCCUUUGUUGGGUCCUCAUUGAGCUUGGGCAGCCCUCCAGAAGCUGCGUGGUUGGUCAGAGAUGAUGUCCUUCGAGGAAAGGAUGAGCUGUUCUUUGGUCAAAAGUAUGCAGAUGCUAUAUACUGGUGACAUGAGGAAACACAGCUUUGAGCUCCUCUAAAGACAUUGUGCCACAAGCCUUUCGUA
rnacentral:sRNA from 1 species